rnacentral:rRNA from 1 species
CCCUACGGGGGGCAGCAGUGGGGAAUAUUGCACAAUGGGGGAAACCCUGAUGCAGCAACGCCGCGUGAAGGAAGACGGUUUUCGGAUUGUAAACUUCUGUUCUUAGUGAAGAAGAAUGACGGUAGCUAAGGAGCAAGCCACGGCUAACUACGUGCCAGCAGCCGCGGUAAUACGUAGGUGGCAAGCGUUGUCCGGAAUUACUGGGUGUAAAGGGAGCGCAGGCGGGAAGCCAAGUCAGCUGUGAAAACUACGGGCUUAACUUGUAGACUGCACUUGAAACUGUAUUUCUUGAGUGCUGGAGAGGC